GAUGAACGCUGGCGGCGUGCCUAAUACAUGCAAGUCGAGCGAACGGACGAGAAGCUUGCUGCUCUGAUGUUAGCGGCGGACGGGUGAGUAACACGUGGAUAACCUACCUAUAAGACUGGGAUAACUUCGGGAAACCGUAGCUAAUACCGGAUAAUAUUUUGAACCGCAUGGUUCAAAAGUGAAAGACGGUCUUGCUGUCACUUAUAGAUGGAUCCGCGCUGCAUUAGCUAGUUGGUAAGGUAACGGCUUACCAAGGCAACGAUGCAUAGCCGACCUGAGAGGGUGAUCGGCCACACUGGAACUGAGACACGGUCCAGACUCCUACGGGAGGCAGCAGUAGGGAAUCUUCCGCAAUGGGCGAAAGCCUGACGGAGCAACGCCGCGUGAGUGAUGAAGGUCUUCGGAUCGUAAAACUCUGUUAUUAGGGAAGAACAUAUGUGUAAGUAACUGUGCACAUCUUGACGGUACCUAAUCAGAAAGCCACGGCUAACUACGUG
rnacentral:rRNA from 1 species